UUGCAGUAAUGAACUUCCACUUUGUGUCAGUGUUUCUGAAUCCUGCAAUCUUGGUGGAAAUUCUGAGCUC
ensembl:snoRNA SNORD18 Small nucleolar RNA SNORD18